ACAAACACCUUGGAUGUUCUU
rnacentral:miRNA from 1 species